rnacentral:rRNA from 1 species
UACGUAGGUGGCAAGCGUUAUCCGGAAUGAUUGGGCGUAAAGGGUGAGCAGGCGGUUCUUCAAGUCAUGAGUGAAAGGCAGAAGCUUAACUUCUGUUGGCUGAUGAGACUGGAGAACUUGAGUACAGGAGAGGGCGGCGGAACUCCAUGUGUAGCGGUAAAAUGCGUAGAGAUAUGGAAGAACACCAGUGGCGAAGGCGGCCGCCUGGACUGAAACUGACGCUCAGGCACGAAAGCGUGGGGAGCAAAUAGG